AAUAGUAAGAUCUGCUCAAUGAUAAUUAAAUAGCCGCUAUUUUCAGUGCUAAGGUAGCAUAAUCAUUUGUCUUUUAAAUAAAGACUAGAACAAAAGAUUUAACAUUUAAUUAUAUUUAUUUAACAUAAUAAUCAAAAUUAAUUUAAAUGUAAAAAAUCAUUUAUACAAAAGAAAGACGACAAGACCCUAUUGAACUUAACUUUAGUUUAACUGGGGCAGUUAAUUAAUUAUUAUUUUAAUCAUACUAAUUACCCAACUAUCUAAUAUAAUUAAAUCAUCCAGUUACCAUAGGGAUAACAGCGCAAUUAUAUUUCAAAGCCCUUAUACAAAAAAUAGAUUACGACCUCGAUGUUGAAUUAAUUACCUAAUUAAAGCAAAUUUUAAAAAAGGAAGUCUGUUCGACUUUUAAACAAUUACAUGAUUUGAGUUCAGACCGGUGCAAGCCAGGUCGGCUUCUAUCUUCUAAAAUACAUCUUACAGUACGAAAGGACCUAAGAAGAUAAUAAGAUUAUCUUAUUGGCAGACAAAUGCGUUAGAAUUAGAAUCUAACUAAGUUCAAAA
rnacentral:rRNA from 1 species